rnacentral:rRNA from 1 species
GAGUAAAGAUUUCGGUCGCUUUGGGAGGAGCUCGCUUACUAUCAGCUUGUUGGUAGGGUAAUGGCCUACCAAGGCUAUGACGGUUAGGGGGUGUGAGAGCAUGACCCCCAGCAUUGGCACUGAAACACUGGCCAAACACCUACGGGUGGCUGCAGUCGAGAAUCUUCCACAAUGGGGGAAACCCUGAUGGAGCGAUGCUGCGUGCGGGAUGAAGGCCUUCGGGUUGUAAACCGCUUUUGUAGGGGACGAAAUUUUUGACGGUACCCUUUCGAAUAAGAGGUUGCUAACUCUGUGCCAGCAGCAGCGGUAAUACAGAGACCUCAAGCGUUAUCCGGAUUUACUGGGCGUAAAGCGUCUGUAGGGGGUUUAUUAAGUUCCAAGUAAAAUUUCAAGGCUCAACUUUGAAUUCGCUUGGAAAACUAAUAAACUGGAGUCUAGCAGAGGUGCAUGGAACUUGUGGUGUAGGAGUGAAAUCCGUUGAUAUCACAAGGAACACCAAAGGCGAAGGCAUUGCACUGGGCUAGCACUGACCCUGAGAGACGAAAGCGUGGGGAGCAAAACGGAUUAGAUACCCGUGUAGUCCACGCCCUAAACGAUGAAUGCUAAAUGUUCGGGGAUUCGACCCCCUGGGUGUUACAGCUAACGCGUUAAGCAUUCCGCCUGGGAAGUACGGCCGCAAGGCUAAAACUCAAAGGAAUAGACGGGGAUCCGCACAAGCGGUGGAGCGUCUGGUUUAAUUCGACAGUAAGCGUGGUACCUCACCAGGGUUUGACAUCCCUUGACAGCCUUGGAAACAAGGUUUCCUUCGGGCAAGGUGACAGGUGCUGCAUGGUCGUCGUCAGUUCGUGCCGUGAGGUGUUCCGUUAAGUCGGGAAACGAACGAAACCCCUAUUGCAUGUUACAAUUUCUCAUGCAAGACUGCCCGGAUAUACUGGGAGGAAGGUGGGGAUGACGUCAGAUCUGCAUGGUCCUUAUACCCUGGGCGACACAGGCGCUACAAUGGCAGAGACAAAGGGUUGCAAAACCGCAAGGUGAAGCUAAUCCCAAAAACUUUGUCUAAGUUCGGAUUGAAGGCUGCAAUUCGCCUUCAUGAAGCUGGAAUCGCUAGUAAUCGUGAAUCAGCCACGUCACGGUGAAUAUGUUCCCGGAUCUUGUACUCACCGCCCGUCACACCAAGAGAGUUGGUAGCUCCCG